UCAGACGGCCGGGCGGCCGCUGGUCCGCGAGCGAUCGCGGGCUGGAGGAAAGUCCGGGCUCCACAGGACCACGGUGCCGGUCAACGACCGGCGGGGGCGACCCCAGGGAAAGUGCCACAGAGAAUAGACCGCCGCGACGUGUUUCCCCUCGGGGUGGCACCGCGCGGCAAGGGUGAAACGGUGGAGUAAGAGACCACCGCGCUUCCGGCAACGGCGGCGGCACGGCAAACCCCACCGGGAGCAAGGCCGAAUAGGGGCGGACGGCGAGGUGCCUUCGGGCACUGACGCAGGGGCGGUCCCGCCCUUCCGCCCGGGUUGGCCGCGCGAAGCCUGCAGCGAUGCAGGCUCCAGAGGAAUGGCCGCACAGGCCCGGCGACGGGCUGGACAGAACCCGGCUUACAGGCCGUCUGACGCU
rnacentral:RNase_P_RNA from 1 species